rnacentral:rRNA from 1 species
ACACUCCUACGGGAGGCAACAGUGGGGAAUAUUGGACAAUGGGCGCAAGCCUGAUCCAGCCAUGCCGCGUGAGUGAUGAAGGCCCUAGGGUUGUAAAGCUCUUUCACCGGUGAAGAUAAUGACGGUAACCGGAGAAGAAGCCCCGGCUAACUUCGUGCCAGCAGCCGCGGUAAUACGAAGGGGGCUAGCGUUGUUCGGAUUUACUGGGCGUAAAGCGCACGUAGGCGGACUAUUAAGUCAGGGGUGAAAUCCCGGGGCUCAACCCCGGAACUGCCUUUGAUACUGGUAGUCUUGAGUUCGAGAGAGGUGAGUGGAAUUCCGAGUGUAGAGGUGAAAUUCGUAGAUAUUCGGAGGAACACCAGUGGCGAAGGCGGCUCACUGGCUCGAUACUGACGCUGAGGUGCGAAAGCGUGGGGAGCAAACAGGAUUAGAAACCCCAGUAGUCCCAUGAU